rnacentral:snoRNA from 1 species
AUCCAGAGAUAUUUAAAAUAUAAAAUAAAACAGUGGUACUUAACUCAUAAAAGUUUGCUUUUAGGGACUGGCUGGGGGAAAAGAGGAAAUUUUGUCCCAGAAGGAACUGUCUGAGGGAU